CCUACGGGUCGCAGCAGUGGGGAAUAUUGCACAAUGGGCCUAAGCCUGAUGCAGCCAUGCCGCGUGUAUGAAGAAGGCCUUAGGGUUGUAAAGUACUCUCAGUUGGGAGGAAGGCGUUGAUGCUAAUAUCAUCAACGAUUGACGUUACCAACAGAAGAAGCACCGGCUAACUCCGUGCCAGCAGCCGCGGUAAUACGGAGGGUGCAAGCGUUAAUCGGAAUUACUGGGCGUAAAGCGCACGCAGGCGGUUGAUUAAGUUAGAUGUGAAAUCCCCGGGCUUAACCUGGGAAUGGCAUCUAAGACUGGGCAGCUAGAGUCUUGUAGAGGGGGGGUAGGAUUCCAUGUGUAGCGGUGAAAUGCGUAGAGAUGUGGAGGAAUACCGGUGGCGAAGGCGGCCCCCUGGACAAAGACUGACGCUCAGGUGCGAAAGCGUGGGGAGCAAACAGGAUUAGAUACCCCCGUAGUC
rnacentral:rRNA from 1 species